rnacentral:rRNA from 1 species
AUUGAACGCUGGCGGCAUGCCUUACACAUGCAAGUCGAACGGCAGCACGGGAGCUUGCUCCUGGUGGCGAGUGGCGAACGGGCGAGUAAUACAUCGGAACGUACCCAGGAGUGGGGGAUAACGCACCGAAAGGUGCGCUAAUACCGCAUACGACCUACGGGUGAAAGCGGGGGACCGUAAGGCCUCGCGCUAUUAGAGCGGCCGAUGUCUGAUUAGCGAGUUGGCGGGGUAAAAGCCCACCAAGGCGACGAUCAGUAGCUGGUCUGAGAGGACGAUCAGCCACACUGGGACUGAGACACGGCCCAGACUCCUACGGGAGGCAGCAGUGGGGAAUUUUGGACAAUGGGGGCAACCCUGAUCCAGCAAUGCCGCGUGUGCGAAGAAGGCCUUCGGGUUGUAAAGCACUUUUGUCAGGGAAGAAAUCUUUCAGGCUAAUACCCUUGGAAGGAUGACGGUACCUGAAGAAUAAGCACCGGCUAACUGCGUGCCAGCAGCCGCCGUAA